rnacentral:rRNA from 1 species
GGGGAAUAUUGCGCAAUGGGGGCAACCCUGACGCAGCCAUGCCGCGUGAAUGAAGAAGGCCUUCGGGUUGUAAAGUUCUUUCGGUAGCGAGGAAGGCAUUUAGUUUAAUAGACUAGGUGAUUGACGUUAACUACAGAAGAAGCACCGGCUAACUCCGUGCCAGCAGCCGCGGUAAUACGGAGGGUGCGAGCGUUAAUCGGAAUAACUGGGCGUAAAGGGCACGCAGGCGGUGACUUAAGUGAGGUGUGAAAGCCCCGGGCUUAACCUGGGGAUUGCAUUUCAUACUGGGUCGCUAGAGUACUUUAGGGAGGGGUAGAAUUCCACGUGUAGCGGUGAAAUGCGUAGAGAUGUGGAGGAAUACCGAAGGCGAAGGCAGCCCCUUGGGAAUGUACUGACGCUCAUGUGCGAAAGCGUGGGGAGCAAACAGGAUUAGAUACCCUGGUAGUCCACGCUGUAAACGAUGUCGAUUUGGGGGUUGAACUUUAAGUUUGGCGCCCGUAGCUAACGUGAUAAAUCGACCGCCUGGGGAGUACGGCCGCAAGGUUA